GGGGAUCGUUCGUGGCGGUGAGGAGGAUCUCGCAGGGGCUCGAUCGGGGCGGCGCCUGCCACGCCUCGUCAGCAGAACUUGUCACAGGAUCAACUGCGUGGCUCGGGAAAGGUCUUUCUUGUGUUUGUGCUCAGAGAAGAGAGAGUGAUGCACGCUUAUCAUUUGACUUGACCCCUUCUCAGGAAGAAUGUUUGCAAAGGUUACAAAACCGAAUUGAAGUUGCUUAUGAUCGCUCGAAGAUUGAACAUCAGGAAGCUCUAAGGGCUCUGUGGUAUGCUGCAUUUCCUGGAGUUGAACUUCGAGAUCUAGUAUCUGAACAAUGGAAGGAAAUG
rnacentral:misc_RNA from 1 species